AUUGAACGCUGGCGGCAUGCUUUACACAUGCAAGACGAACGGCAGCGCGGGCUUCGGCCUGGCGGCGAGUGGCGAACGGGUGAGUAAUGCAUCGGAACGUGCCCAGUAGUGGGGGAUAGCCCGGCGAAAGCCGGAUUAAUACCGCAUACGACCUGAGGGUGAAAGCGGGGGACCGAAAGGCCUCGCGCUAUUGGAGCGGCCGAUGUCGGAUUAGCUAGUUGGUGGGGUAAAGGCUUACCAAGGCGACGAUCCGUAGCUGGUCUGAGAGGACGACCAGCCACACUGGGACUGAGACACGGCCCAGACUCCUACGGGAGGCAGCAGUGGGGAAUUUUGGACAAUGGGGGCAACCCUGAUCCAGCCAUGCCGCGUGCGGGAAGAAGGCCUUCGGGUUGUAAACCGCUUUUGUUCGGGAAGAAAUCCUCUGGGCUAAUACCCCGGGGGGAUGACGGUACCGGAAGAAUAAGCACCGGCUAACUACGUG
rnacentral:rRNA from 1 species